AGCGAACGCUGGCGGCAGGCCUAACACAUGCAAGUCGAACGAACCUUUCGGGGUUAGUGGCGGACGGGUGAGUAACCCGUGGGAACGUGCCUUUAGGUUCGGAAUAACUCAGGGAAACUUGUGCUAAUACCGAAUGUGCCCUUCGGGGGAAAGAUUUAUCGCCUUUAGAGCGGCCCGCGUCUGAUUAGCUAGUUGGUUGAGGUAAUGGCUCACCAAGGCGACGAUCAGUAGCUGGUCUGAGAGGAUGAUCAGCCACAUUGGGACUGAGACACGGCCCAAACUCCUACGGGAGGCAGCAGUGGGGAAUCGUGCGCAAUGGGCGAAAGCCUGACGCAGCCAUGCCGCGUGAAUGAUGAAGGUCUUAGGAUUGUAAAAUUCUUUUAACGGGGACGAUAAUGACGGUACCCGGAGAAGAAGCCCCGGCUAACUUCGUG
rnacentral:rRNA from 1 species